rnacentral:rRNA from 1 species
GACGAACCGUCCAAACGUUAUUCGGAAUCACUGGGCUUACAGGGUGCGUAGGCGGCUUAGCAAGUCAGGUGUGAAAGCCCCCGGCUCAACCGGGGAACUGCGCUUGAAACUGCUGAGCUCGAGUCAGCUAGAGGUACACGGAACUUCCAGUGGAGCGGUGAAAUGUGUUGAUAUUGGAAGGAACACCGGAGGCGAAAGCGGUGUACUGGGGCUGGUCUGACGCUGAGGCACGAAAGCCAGGGGAGCGAACGGG